UAAUCCUAAAAAUAGUAAAAGGCCAUACGUCGAAAGUCGUAUCCACGCCGCCGCUUAUCGCGUUUUCCAUUCACGGAAAUCGCAUACACGGCGUAAGUGCAUUUCCAUGGCGGAGAGGAUGGUCGUAAACCUUGGUUCACCUCAAGGUUGGCACCGAGGUGCGAAUUAUCGCUCCACGGUUAAAUUGCCCGUUGAUUUUUCCAAUCUCCACGGUGUAGAAGGGAUCCGAGGAGUGGUGGUGCCUAUCUUGUUACGGUCGCACGUGCAUCGGUUCGUAAGGGUCGGCGGGACAAACUGGUGGAAUUAUAGGUGUCGGCCAAGUUCGCGGGUGCACGGAGUCGCGGAAAUUACGAGGACGAUGCAAAAUACGACUCGGGCUUCUCUUUCGUUCGACCGUGACCCAUAAAUCCGCCACGAGUGUCGGCUGACACGGGCGUUUUUCUUUUUUCUUUUUUUUCUUUUUUUUUGAGAGUCUUUUCUCGUUGAGAGACUCAUGGUUGGAUGGUUUUCGUUUUGCAUGAAAUUUUGCUAAUAAAGGUAAGAAAAUUGUUGCAAUGGCAAAUGUGCAUUUUGGGAGAAAAGGGUGAUGAAAGGUGUGUACGUCGAGCGUGUUAGAUUUUUUGUAAAAUUGAAUAAAUUCUUUUGAAUAACAGCUUGGUGAUUUGAUGAAUGAAUUUUUGUUUGGAGUAUCGAUGCUUUUGAUAAAAAUGGAAAAUAUGGAAGAUUUAAUGCAUUUUAAAUUUAGAAUAAUUCAAUGGCUAGAGUUUGUGUAGAGGGAGAGACAAUUUUAAAAUUGAAAGAAUUAUUUAAAACGAAGAUAAUGAUAUUCUUCGGCAAAUAUAAGCAAAGGGAAAAAUUAAAGGGAAUAAAUUUAACAAUGAACAAUCAUUGACAACAAAUACAAAAUAACAUCACAGGUUUAAUGCCGAAGUAUUAAGCGAUUAGUCAUACGCGUAGCAUGAGAAAGUGGGUCAAAUAAAACGGGCUAUAGGCUAUAGUAUGCAAGUUCCUGAUUUUAUGGCGAACGACAAGAGUAAUUAUUCAUACUACUCCAAUCGCUAAUGGCAAUGAAGUGCUGUCGUUAGAAGACCCUCGUCUUCUAUGGAUAAUUAUCUUCGAAGCUUCACUUAAGAUUUAACACCUUGAAGGAAAAGUUCAAAAAAAAAUCACAUCUCUCAAAAAUAAGUUUUCUCUCGUUGAUUUCCCCUUGUAUCGAGAAGAAUACGUUCAAAGUAUGGCAAAAACUCUGAGUAUUGCGAAACUGUUGAAAAAAGAGAACUCUCUACGUCUAAUCCGUUCCCCCUCUUCCCUGAUGCAAAUCACGAUUCCGUAACGUCACGCUGGCUUCGGUAUGCGAUACGGCCGAUUAAACCUUGUUCCAGCGGGUUGGUCGCGGCGAUUUGUCAUUGGCCGCGCGAGCGACAUGCGAAAUACGCAUUUAAGGGAUCGAGCGCCACGGGUAGGUGAAGCUUUAUCCCUAUCCUCGUUACAAAUAACUCCCCGCGUGAUGCAUUCGGUAUUCGAGUUCAGCGGGGUGGCUCCCCUGUCCACUGGACGGCCGCUCGGCUUUUAUAAUAUCAGCCGCGCGGUUUUUCUGCCCGCGGAAAUUACGAUCCGCGCGGCCGCUCACCGGCCCCCACCGAACUAUUUACGAGAACGUGGGGGCGGUAGGUAACGAGACGUCGCGACGUGAAUACCCAACCUUUGUGUCAAGACGCAUCUUGUUUCUCAUACAGAGGUUCUGAAAAUCCUUUUAAUCGAUUCCCAACACCUCGUGUGACAGAUCGUGUGCGCGUGAUAGAGGAGUGGUGGAGCGUGAGAAUGUAUUUACGAGGUAUAAUCGUUGGGCAGAACUUCUCCUGGAAUUAUUACAGUUGGCUUCUCCGCAAUGUGAGAGAAUUUUGGAAAUUUCCUUUCGAAUUUGGAAAGUGUGUUUUGAAUUAAGGGAUAAAGUAAUAAUAAUAUGAUUAAAUCGGGGUAGUGAAGAUAUUGAAGUGAAAAAUAAAUAUUAAUAAUUUCACGAGAUUGAUUGAAUACCAUAAAAUGGUUAUGAUUAUUUUUACACUUGAGAAUAAGAGGAAAAUAUUAGAGAAUAUGGAAGUAAAAUUUCGUAAAGGUAUUUUAAUAGUAUUUGAAAUUUUAACGAGGUACGUAUACGUGUAAAAUUUAUAUCUCGUAACAUCCAGUUGAAAUAUAUAUUGAGACGUCGACUGCUCGUUUCUUAUGAUUUCUUAUUGUAAGCCGUUGUGGCCAUUUGUAACAUCACGCGGUAAAAUCUAACCAAGUGAGAUGUAUCCCAGAAAUGUGAAACUUGAAACUCGAAUAUCUUACAGCCUUGUUUCCACGCUUACUAAACCUUAUGCUUGUUCUAUCAGAAUUACAUUCUAUUUUCUUCCAGAGAAUACCUUCCCCAAACUAGUGGAAAGCUGUUUCGAUAUUCCUGAGAUGUAAAUUCCGUCCAUCUUUAUCUUAUUACCUUUAAACUAAACUAAAAGUGAGAAAAUUUUGAAAUCAAGGAAAAAAAAUAGAAUAGAAUAGAUAAAAGACAAAAACAAAUAUUAUAAGAGUAGAAUAAUAUCACUGAACGUUCAAGAAAGUAAUAAUAUCUUAAGUAAUUUAUCAAACUCUUUCACUAAUUUUCAACCCCUAUAAAAAUACAUUACAAUAUGUUUAAAGAUACAAUAAAUUUUUAUAUUAUCCUUCAAAUACUUUUCCUGUCUCUUCCAAAGGAAAGAGAAAACUUUAUUUAAAUACAAAUCCAUAAUAAAGCAUAUUCAAAUUAAAAUAAAAUUAAUUCGUUCAGGAGAUUGGAGAUAAUCGGUGUUGGAGCUCGAUGCAUCUUCCCUCGAAAUGGUUACAUUCUACGUUCAUUCUCGAGUGCAUUUUGCCCGUGUAUAAAUACAAGGGCUACAAAUAGCUCAUGGCAUCGUAUAAUGUAAACUCAUGGAAAACUAAACGCCCACGAUUCGAUGCAUGAAGAAUGAGAAGGAGAAAUAAUAACUGGUGGAAUACCAUAUUUUACAGAAUCGUGUGACUCCCAACUAAUAUCACGCCAUUUGCUCGUACAAAUUAAUGCAUGUUAUACCUAGACAUGGUUAUUGUUUAUAAUACAAGGGAAUGCGCUCUGUUUUAAUGCAUUUCCACGUGCUUGUGUAUAUACCUUGAUGUGUAUACCUUGCAGGCAAAUGAUGCCAUUAAUUAUGCGUAAUUAUGCACCAUCAUAGCGUGACAUCAAACCUGUGGAAUGUUGUCAUUUGAAACAUUAUUUCUAAUAUCUGUGAACGCUUUUGAAAUUAUUCGAAACACUGUUAUCGUACAAACUAUAAUAUUACAUUUAAAAUCUGUUUCAGGAUUAUUACUUUCAACAAAUAGGUUUUUCCAUUGUCAAAAACGACGAUUAAAGAUGUUAUUCCAAAUCUGGACGAUAUUUCGAUUGAACAACACUCGAUAUUUCUCACUAUUUUAAUUUCAGAUAAGAUUUUCUCGAAUGAAAACGAUACGCAGUUUACGACAUCUCUUUUCUGAAUCACUUGACACACUCUUGCCACGUGACAGCAAUAACAUCUCUGCAAGAACCGUUCCAAUGGAUUUAUGUAAUAAUAGAAUGUUUUUCCUAACAGUUUCUCAAGCAAACUGUUACAUAGAGAGACGCGAAGCUCAUGAAACUGGAUCGAAACAAUUAAUAACUUAUUGAUACGGAUCUAUCUGAAUAAUAUUUCGGAAAAUAUAUUUCACAAAUUAAAUUAAUUAAAAAAUUUAUUAUUUCCGCGUUGGAGAGAGGAAACAUGGAUUGCAGCUAACAGCAUUACGCGAUAAGAUGGAAUAUUACGAAAAAUAUUAUGGGAUAUUUAUAAAAAUGAAUGAGGAAAAAGCAAUAAAGAUAAGUACCGUAACUCGUGAAAAGAAUAACAGGAACAGUAUUGGCUGUUCGUCUUUUGUUUCGAUCACGGCUAUUGAAAAUGUCUGUGGAUAAAUCACAUGCAAGUGAUAAAAUAUCGCACGUGUUAUCGUUCAUCGGCCAAUGCUUUAUUUUCAUUCCGAUGUACCCUGAUCUCGCGAGGAGCGGAAGCAUCUUGAAUACUGUAUACCACGAGUUCAUCUCUCUGUAAGAUAUUCAUCAUUCUCUACUUGCUCAGUCUUUACCGGAUACCAUUUAUCUCUUCGAGGCAAAAAAGUAUUUGAAGAGAAAGAAAGAAAGAAAGAAAGAAAGAAAGAAAGAAAGAAAGAAAGAAAGAAAAAAAGGAUUCCCUUGCAUACUAGAUCUCAAAUCAAACAGAUUGAACGUAAAUAAUCGAGAUAAUGGAAGCACGGGAAUAUCAUUAAAAAAAAUAUGAUGCGAAACGUGCGAGAAUCGGACAUUUUUUUUUUCCCCCUUUUGAAAUUCGAAAGGGUAUGAUCGAGAGAGAAUUAAAAAUUAAAAAUCGUAUGAUAAAUUGAUAGUUCGAAUUCGAGACAAGUUUAAACGAGCCAAAUUUAAUUGAUUCUAAAUUCUAAAGUUUGAUCGACGUUUCGAAAUUCACAAAAGCAUUUAAUAUUGAAUCCUUUCGAGACUAACGGGACAAUAUCAUACAUGUGUACAUUCGUCCAUAAAUCACCGAGCAUGAUAGACGUUUAGAAUAAAGAUAGAUGAACGUUGUAAUUAUAAAACUUGAACUUAUGUAAUAAUUAUCGAAUGUUUUGAAGAUUUUAUUGAAAAUCUGUUUUAAUGAAUAUCGUCAUUAACAAAAUUAACGCAAGUGUCAAAAUUGCUGGAUUCUAAUUUAUCUACAUCGUUGAAAACUUAUAAAUUCGUAAGAUCCUAUUAUAAAAAUGAAAUUCCAAGUAUAUAAAUGAAAUUAAUUAAACUUAUUUCGUUUCUUUUUUUUUUUUUUUUAUUGUUAAAAAGAAAAAUCUUUUCGAUAUUGAAAAAUAAAAAUAUCAAACAUAGUAUAGAUUUAUUCUAUUGCGUUAUAUUACAAGAAAUCCUGUUGUAAAAUAUUAUAAUUUUAAAAAUUCUCAAUUCCUUCAUGUACCAUCUACUUCUUUAGAAAUGAAUUUAUAAAGUGUUUCAACGAAAUAAAAUGAACGAUACAAUCAUUUCUCUGUUUCCACGAGAACGAAUAAAUCACGAAAAUUCGAAGGUUUGAUAAUAGAUGCAUGCACGGUCGAAAUGUAAGAUGAAACGUGACUCGUGUGCAUGACAUUCUUCGAGUGCUCAUAAAGCAUUCUCCACCGUAUGGCUACCGCGUCGUAACUCGCUCCGCUUCCUAGGUAUUGUUGCCUUACCGAAGGAUUCUUGAAUCUUGGCUCGUGUACAAAGCGACUACGGAAGGAACGUUCCAACCAACUUCUUGCGCACCACUUCUGCUAUAGACGAACAACAAUGUGGUUGAUGCUGCUAGACGGUCAAGACCAUCGUUCCGUAACCAUGCAAAAAUUUCUCGAAGCGCCGAGGAAUUUUUCGUUAAAAUCGAGCGUCCAUGUACUUUUACUUCUUUAAU